rnacentral:rRNA from 1 species
AGUGAACGCUGGCGGUAGGCCUAACACAUGCAAGUCGAACGGCAGCACAGGAGAGCUUGCUCUCUGGGUGGCGAGUGGCGGACGGGUGAGGAAUACAUCGGAAUCUGCCCAGUCGUGGGGGAUAACGUAGGGAAACUUACGCUAAUACCGCAUACGACCUUCGGGUGAAAGAGGGGGAUCGCAAGACCUCUCGCGAUUGGAUGAGCCGAUGUCGGAUUAGCUAGUUGCCGGGGUAAUGGCCCACCAAGGCGACGAUCCGUAGCUGGUCUGAGAGGAUGAUCAGCCACACUGGAACUGAGACACGGUCCAGACUCCUACGGGAGGCAGCAGUGGGGAAUAUUGGACAAAGGGCGCAAGCCUGAUCCAGCCAUACCGCGUGGGUGAAGAAGGCCUUCGGGUUGUAAAGCCCUUUUGUUGGGAAAGAAAUCUUUCAGGCUAAUACCCUGGGAGGAUGACGGUACCCAAAGAAUAAGCACCGGCUAACUUCGUG